AUUGAACGCUGGCGGCAUGCCUUACACAUGCAAGUCGAGCGGCAGCGCGGGGGCAACCCUGGCAGCGAGCGGCGGACGGGUGCGUAAUACAUCGGAACGUGUCCUUUCGUGGGGGAUGACCAGUCGAAAGACUGGCUAAUACCGCAUGAGAUCUCACGAUGAAAGCGGGGGACCGCAAGGCCGCGCGCGAUUGGAACGGCCGAUGUCGGAUUAGCUAGUUGGCGGGGUAAUAGCCCACCAAGGCGACGAUCCGUAGCUGGUUUGAGAGAACGAGCAGCCACACUGGGACUGAGACACGGCCCAGACUCCGACGGGAGGCAGCAGUGGGGAAUUUUGGACAAUGGGCGCAAGCCUGAUCCAGCCAUGCCGCGUGUGUGAAGAAGGCCUUCGAGUUGUAAAGCACUUUCGGCCGGAACGAAAUCGCGCGGAUUAAUAACCCGCGUGAAUGACGGUACCGGAAGAAGAAGCACCGGCUAACUACGUGCCAGCAGCCGCAGUAA
rnacentral:rRNA from 1 species